rnacentral:rRNA from 1 species
UAGCUAGUUGGUGGGGUAAAGGCCUACCAAGGCGACGAUCGGUAGCUGGUCUGAGAGGAUGGCCAGCCACACUGGGGCUGAGACACGGUCCAGACUCCUACGGGAGGCAGCAGUGGGGAAUAUUGGACAAUGGGGGGAACCCUGAUCCAGCAAUGCCGCGUGUGUGAAGAAGGCCUGAGGGUUGUAAAGCACUUUCAGUGGGGAGGAGGUUUGAUUGGUUAAGAGCUGAUUGAAUGGACGUUACCCACAGAAGAAGCACCGGCUAACUCCGUGCCAGCAGCCGCGGUAAUACGGAGGGUGCGAGCGUUAAUCGGAAUUACUGGGCGUAAAGGGUGCGUAGGUGGUUGUUUAAGUUAUCUGUGAAAUCCCUGGGCUCAACCUGGGCAGGUCAGAUAAUACUGAAUAACUCGAGUAUAGGAGAGGGUAGUGGAAUUUCCGGUGUAGCGGUGAAAUGCGCAGAGAUCGGAAGGAACACCAGUGGCGAUGGCGGCUACCUGGCCUGAUACUGACACUGAGGCACGAAAGCGUGGGGAGCAAACAGGAUUAGAUACCCUGGUAGUCCACGCUGUAAACGAUGUCAACUAGCUGUUGGUUAUAUGAAUAUAAUUAGUGGCGC